rnacentral:rRNA from 1 species
ACGCGAAAGCCCCCUUCGGGGGGCAAGUAGAGUGGCGCACGGGUGAGUAUCACGUAGGUAAUCUACCUUUGGAUGGGGAAUAACCACCGGAAACGGUGGCUAAUACCGCAUAAUGCAGCGGCACCUAAUGGUGACAGUUGUUAAAGCGGGGGAUCGCAAGACCUCGCGUCUGAAGAGGAGCCUGCGGCGGAUUAGCUAGUUGGUAGGGUAACGGCUUACCAAGGCGAUGAUCCGUAGCCGGCCUGAGAGGGCGGUCGGCCACACUGACACUGACAUACGGGUCAGACUCCUACGGGAGGCAGCAGUCGGGAAUUUUGGGCAAUGGGCGAAAGCCUGACCCAGCAACGCCGCGUGAAGGAUGAAAUCCUUCGGGAUGUAAACUUCGCAAGAACAGGAAGAAUAAGUAAGGGUUAAUAUCUCUUACGAUGACGGUACUGUUUGUAAGCUCCGGCUAACUCCGUGCCAGCAGCCGCGGUAAUACGGGGGGAGCAAGCGUUGUUCGGAUUUACUGGGCGUAAAGGGCGCGUAGGCGGCCACCGCAAGUCGACUGUGAAAUCUCUGGGCUUAACCCAGAACGGUCAGCCGAUACUGCGGGGCUAGAGUGCAGAAGGGGCAACUGGAAUUCUCGGUGUAGCGGUGAAAUGCGUAGAUAUCGAGAGGAACACCUGCGGCGAAGGCGGGUUGCUGGGCUGACACUGACGCUGAGGCGCGAAAGCUAGGGGAGCGAACGGGAUU